UACGUAGGGGGCGAGCGUUGUCCGGAUUUAUUGGGCGUAAAGAGCUCGUAGGCGGUUUGGUAAGUUGGAUGUGAAAUCUCCAGGCUCAACUUGGAGGGGUCAUUCGAUACUGCCAUGACUAGAGUUCGGUAGGGGAGUGUGGAAUUCCUGGUGGAGCGGUGAAAUGCGCAGAUAUCAGGAAGAACACCCGUGGCGAAGGCGGUUCUCUGGGACGGUACUGACGCUGAGACGCGAAAGCGUGGGGAGCGAACAGG
rnacentral:rRNA from 1 species